rnacentral:lncRNA from 1 species
GGGAUCCUCAGAGGACAAGGGAGGGCUGGACACAGAGGCAAGGAUCCACACAGAAAGGAGGUGAGGAGGUGGUGGCAGGGACGGCUUCUACUAGCCAAGGAUGGCCUGUGGCCACCAGUUAGGAGCUGAGGGGAGCCUGGGAUAGAAGGAACCAGCCCUGCCCUCAGCUGGAUCUCAGACUCCUGGCCUCCAGAGCAGAGAGAGAGUAAUCUGUUUUUUCAUGCCCUCCCAGUCUGUGCUGGUCCUUUCCGGCAGCUCCAGGGAACUAACCUCACGCGUCCCCUGUGCCCCCCAAGCACAGCUAAGCAGGACUCCUAAGCUAAACAGCUGCUGAAAUAGGUUUCAGUUUCUGCUCUGCAUUUCUUCAGGGAGGGAGAGGGGCUUGCAUUCCUUCAUUCCUUGAGACAGAGGCUUGGGAGCCCCAUCUGCCUUUUGGAGUCUAUUCAAAGGCAGCUCCAGGACCCCUUUGUGACUCACCCCACGAGGCAGGGUCCCCUAGCUCAGCACUUCAUGCUGCCUGUCAUGCUGGCUGGAGCGUCAUCCCAUACUCCCACAUCUGUCCUUCCUGGUGGACAGAGAGCUCCAGGGACAGGGAACAGAGCUGGCCAGGGGGACACAGAUGCCAUUCCCACCAGCUCUCCACUGCUGCUUCCUGCAGGAUGGGAGCACGGAAACACUCCUUAAGGUUCACCCUGAGAGCCACAAUACAGAGAUGGAGGGCAGACCGAGGAUUCUCCCUGGUUUGCAAGGCCCAGAAACAUCCCGACAAACAGGCACAGAGGGAGGCAUUUCUCCUAAAACCCCUGGCUCAGCAGCAGCUCCAUUCCGGUCAGACGUCUUGAUGGUUGCCCAUGGCAGUCCAAGACAAUUCCACUGUGGGUGUUUCUGGACCUCUGCUAUGAAGAUGCUAUAUCCCAAGAAUGUACUGGAAAUAUCCAAGAGACAAAGGUCCCAGAGGAACAAAUGGACUUUGAAGUCACACAAAUCUACAUCCAAGCCAAACUCUGAGUGUAAAGUGGAAUAAGUACACUCUUCCUUGCCUCUCUCACUGCAUGUAGCUAUAAACCCUGCACAGAAUAUGUGGAGAAGCUCUGUGAGGGCUCUGAAGCACAAACAUCAGGAAGAUGGAAGAAGAUCAGAAGUCAAAGUAUCAUAGAACUUGUGAUGAGUUUACCAUUUUUUAUUCCUCUGGUAUCUUCUAGUCUAGACCCAUUCCAGCCCAGAAGUGAGCAGUGACAAGGACAGAAGCUCCAGAAGUUCUCUAGCUCUGUUUGGAGGAGUGGGUCUCUAACACUCAAGAAAAUAGAGGAAAUGUACCAUUUUUUUCUUUCUUCCAGUCUCAUACCCCAAAUUCCAAGCAUUCCCACUGUGGCAACAGCAAUAGCAGCAUCAGUGAGAACCCAAAGGAGCCUAAAAUCCUGCAGGAGAAUCUUCUCCAAUUAGGGAAGCUGUGGUCUUAAAACAGUGGAAUAGAUCCCACUGCUUUUAUUAUUUCUUUGUCUUCUCACAAUUUAGCCCAAAAUUUGUUGUAGGAAGUCCAUGCCUGGGAAGAAUAAAUAAAGCCCUAAAUUUAUGGCCA